CCUACGGGUGGCAGCAGUGGGGAAUAUUGGACAAUGGGGGCAACCCUGAUCCAGCCAUGCCGCGUGUGUGAAGAAGGCCCUCGGGUUGUAAAGCACUUUCAGUGAGGAAGAACGCCUGGUGGUUAAUACCCAUCAGGAAAGACAUCACUCACAGAAGAAGCACCGGCUAACUCCGUGCCAGCAGCCGCGGUAAUACGGAGGGUGCGAGCGUUAAUCGGAAUUACUGGGCGUAAAGCGCGCGUAGGUGGCUUGAUAAGCCGGUUGUGAAAGCCCCGGGCUCAACCUGGGAACGGCAUCCGGAACUGUCAAGCUAGAGUGCAGGAGAGGAAGGUAGAAUUCCCGGUGUAGCGGUGAAAUGCGUAGAGAUCGGGAGGAAUACCAGUGGCGAAGGCGGCCUUCUGGACUGACACUGACACUGAGGUGCGAAAGCGUGGGUAGCAAACAGGAUUAGAAACCCUGGUAGUC
rnacentral:rRNA from 1 species